rnacentral:rRNA from 1 species
CCUACGGGUGGCUUCAGUGGGGAAUAUUGGACAAUGGGGGCAACCCUGAUCCAGCCAUGCCGCGUGUGUGAAGAAGGCCCUCGGGUUGUAAAGCACUUUCAGUGAGGAAGAACGCCUGGUGGUUAAUACCCAUCAGGAAAGACAUCACUCACAGAAGAAGCACCGGCUAACUCCGUGCCAGCAGCCGCGGUAAUACGGAGGGUGCGAGCGUUAAUCGGAAUUACUGGGCGUAAAGCGCGCGUAGGUGGCUUGAUAAGCCGGUUGUGAAAGCCCCGGGCUCAACCUGGGAACGGCAUCCGGAACUGUCAAGCUAGAGUGCAGGAGAGGAAGGUAGAAUUCCCGGUGUAGCGGUGAAAUGUGUAGAGAUCGGGAGGAAUACCAGUGGCGAAGGCGGCCUUCUGGACUGACACUGACACUGAGGUGCGAAAGCGUGGGUAGCAAACAGGAUUAGAUACCCCGGUAGUC